UACGUAGGGUGCGAGCGUUGUCCGGAAUUAUUGGGCGUAAAGAGCUCGUAGGCGGCUUGUCGCGUCGGAUGUGAAAGCCCGGGGCUUAACUCCGGGUCUGCAUUCGAUACGGGCUGACUAGAGUUCGGUAGGGGAGACUGGAAUUCCUGGUGUAGCGGUGAAAUGCGCAGAUAUCAGGAGGAACACCGGUGGCGAAGGCGGGUCUCUGGGCCGAUACUGACGCUGAGGAGCGAAAGCGUGGGGAGCGAACAGG
rnacentral:rRNA from 1 species